GAAACCAAUUGCGAUUACGGGAAGGUUGAGGGGGGCAGUGCCUCAACUGCAAACCGAAACAAAGAAAGGAUUUGCUGGCUCUUCCCAAGGCGGUGCUGAAGACCCCACCAAAAGCAGAGCUCAAUGGCCACUAAAGGAGCUGCCUUCACCUACAGCACGGCUGGGCCGGGGGGCUGUGGGCCACGAGGGCCCAGUUGUGCCACACCUGCUGAUCGUGACAGCCAGGACUGUAGUGAAAUCCUACCUGCUGUCCCUUCCUGCCCUGUGUCUUAGCGCCCAUGGUGCAGGUGAGCGCCCACAGUCAGUGGGAGGAAGGGAACCCAGUGACAGCAAUGCUGGGAAGCUUCUGGUCUGCUUCCUCGGUGGCAUCGCUGCAAUGAAACCCUUGGGAGCACUGAGUGCACGGAACAAGGGCUGGGCUCUCCUGGGGAACUGCAGGCGGAUGGGAAACGUCUCCAAACCGGUCCAGCUCUCAGCGACGAGCCCUUCCCUCCCUUCCUAAUUGCCAUUCCUCCCGAUGGAGCCGAGCUGCCAGCAGGAAAUAAAACCACCAGGGCUUUUUUGCUUAACCCCCCCUGUCACGGUGCGUUUGCAGGUGGUGCCUUCCCAGCCCAGGAGAAAGGAAGCAAGCACAGCGGAUGCCUCAUCCAUAUGCACAGGACCGGCUCUCUCCAGCAUCUCCUCCUGCUUGGAUCACCUCUCUGUCGUGCACCGUGCUUUACACGGAGCGGGGAGCCGGCUCUGUCACUCCAGGAAGUCAGCAGACUUGCCUUGGCACUCCUGCUGGGGAAAGCUGGACUGAAACCUCCUCAGUCCUUCAGCCCGUCGGGUUUCUCUUCUGGAUCUCCAUCCCUGUGAACUCACACGCUCAUCCUGCAUUAUCCCAAGCACCAGUUUAAACCCUGCUUCCCUCCAUGGCAAAGCGAGGACCUCCGCCACUUCACAGAGGCGUUCCCAUGGUGGAUGCCAACCCCCUCUCCCCAGCCGCGCUGUAAAGGGAUUCGAUGCUGCUCUCUGCCCUGUAUGUAUGCUAAGGGCUGCUUUUUCUCCCAUGCCAACUGAGAAAUCGAUCGCUCGACAGGACAGAGCUGGGAAUGCACAGCUGAGUGGCACCCGCAAGUACCGUGUGGGUCUCCCCGUGGGGCAUCAGACAGGGUCUGAGCCUCCCCUGCCAUUCCUUCAGCUCAGAGAAGCCCUUUCUUUAGGGAUGGACCCCACAGAAGCAGCUCAGAGGGCUCUUGGACAAGCAGCCACCGACAGACCCGUGCCUGACGCAGCAUUUCAGAGCAGCCCAGCAAUGCAAGCGUUACUCCCCGUUGCCCUAAUUACAGCAGGGCAAUCACCGUGUUUUACUACUGUGUUGUCUCCCAGUUAUUCUCUGUGUUCAGAAAUAACAUUGGUCACAUCGCUGCCCCCGAGCCUUGUCCUCAGUGGAGUUUGCACCAGUGUUUUCCAAGCAAAUAAGUGAAAGGGGAAGGAGGGCUGCACUCGGACUUGCUGAUAGAAGGGAAAGCCGUUGUGCGCAGGGAUGGCUCAGCACCAAGGCAGUGAAUUUGCCAAGGUCACCGAAAGCAGCAGCUCGCAGAGGAGCCCGGUGCCAAGCAGCAGAGAUUCCUGAGCUCUGCAAACAAGCAGCUGCUUGAUCCUACACCCUCCGUAUUUUGUUAGGAACGAGAAAAAGAGCCCCCGUUCUGUGCAGGACGGACAUUUUGCUGCCAAGAAAGUGCCACCUACUGGAGCUGGCCCGGCAGGAACGUAUGAGAACGGCAAACAAACCCAGAAGUAAUGCUGGAAAAAUUACUUUUCUCCCCCCUUAAAAAACAACCCGAAGAGAUACAAAGCUCCACACUUACAGUGCCCCCAGCAGCAGCCCCCUCUGAUCACAGCCCUCUGUCCCUCGAUCCCCCGUGGAGGACCGGCGCUGGCGGCUGGGGGGAUAUGCCGUUUUAGGGUUCAAAAGGAGAGACUCACCGAUGCUGAGCAGCCCCUCGUGUCCCCAGAUGGUCCCCUGGGCUCCUCUCGCUCCUGUCCCAGAUAGCCGUGCCCUCCUAGCGCAAUCCUGCUGCCAUUCUCCGGCAGCCCGGCUCUUCUGCUUCACUUCGUGCCCCAGGGAUGGAGGAGGGAGACCACCUGGAGCCCCGACCUGGGGGUCCCGCCGCCUCCACCUCCCCGCUGCCCUUUCGUCCCCGUGCCACUCGCCCCAGUUGUCUGCGAGCAGGUGACAGAGGUUUCUUGGCAGAGGAGAGACGAGGGGAGGGAUGUGGAGGCAGCGAGAGGUGGAGCUGGGACCCGGAGCAACAGGUUACUGAAUAACUAGGAGCCGGCGGCCCCAGGGAGCUGGGCAGUGGGCCUUCGCCGUGCGAAAACCGAGGCGGGGGGGACGUGUGAAACGUCAGGUUUUUCUCGCCCGAGAACAUUUCGUGCCCCAGGGGGAGGCAGAGGAAGGCGGGGGUGAUGAAGGAGAGCGUUGAGCCGGGUUUUCCAUCGCCGGUGAGGGAGGGGACGCGGUGCCCGGUGGGGGGAACAAGGCAGCUUUUGUGCAGCCCUGCUGCUCGCGGGUUGUUUUCCGCCAGCUUCGCUCCUGCCUGCUCUCACCGCCCUGGUGUGUGCUGAAACAGCUGGGACAGAUGCCCCGACACGGACAGAGGGCAAAACAUCCUCCCCGACGGCCCCAGAGCAGAGCGGGGUGAGGAUAGGAGCCCCGCCGGGGUACCCUGCUGGGGAGGGGGCUGUGAUCCCUGAACCUCCCUUUGGGAGAAUGGAGGCGAAGCAAUUGCCGUAGCUCAGGAGGGGAAUGAAGGGCUUGCUGGCAUCAGGCAAGGUUUGGAGGCACUGUGCCCAUCCAUCCAUCCCUUGGGUUGCCACCACACUGUAGCAAUGAUGGCAGAGCUGAUGGUGCGGUUUCGAGCUCAGUCUCCCGUGCGGGCAGACUGCUGCUCGCAAAGGGCGCCCUGUUUCAUCUGCCUGAAGACUUGGUUUUAAAGUGUUGAUUAAAGGGAUGGGAUUAGCUCACUGAGCUGAUGGCCACGCUGGAAAAUGUCACAGCACCGAGGAGAGGAAGCUGUCAGAUGCUGUCAGAUCCUGCACCAGUGCAAACCAAAAGGCCUGCUGCACUGCUACGGCUGCGGGACUGCUGGGCUGGGCUCGCUGUCCCAGGGUGCAAACAGCUCGUUGGAGGGAUUCACUUGCAGAAGCUGUUUCAUGCUAAGGCACCUCAUUACCUGGCAGUUUCGGCUCCAUGGUCAUUACAAAGAUAGGCACGAAGUGCUGUGCCCUGUAGGAGAUCUCAAAGUGCUGAGCAGAGGAGGGAACUUUUCUUCUGGGCAGGGAAGAAAACCACAAAUGAGCUCAUUACAUCUUCCCUGCAACACCUGGCGCUGGUCAGAGCAACCACCAUACUGCUGCACUGCUGCCUGCACUCCGGACUCCUCUGCUCAGAUCCCACAGAGCUUUGGACCAACCCAGCCCUAUCGCUCACAGUAUCUGAGCGUGACAUCCCAGGAGGCCAAUGUGCUCCUCGGGAUCAGCCUUUUAAAUCAGGUUGGCGGCAGACAUCCCUGUGAUGGCUUGAGAACAAAGGUUUCUCCCUCGCAGAGCAAACAACACCCAAACUGAGCUCCUCAAAACGUGGCUUCCUCGUUUUUCAUGCCGUUUCCAUCCAACUUGCUCAUCCUGUUUCAGAAGGGCUGGGCCUCGUAAUUAAAAGCUCCACCAAUCUUACGUCUGGCAAAUGUCAUCAAUGACUUUACGAUGACUUUUCUACCUCUACUCAUGCUGAGAUUCUGUAUUCUGUCUGCAGUGAGCACCGUGGCGCAUACACAGAGGCUGCAACUUGAAGCUGACACGUGUGACUCCACCACCUCCAUCCAGAAUGAUGAAUGCUUAAAGAUUCUAUUCCCCUGAAAAGGCACAGUGAUAACAUGACAUACCCAAGUACAACCGCAGCGCCUCAAGAAUGGCCAUGAUGCAAAGCAAUGCAAGAUCGGGAGCCAAAAAACCAUCUGG